rnacentral:piRNA from 1 species
CAUGUCCUAUCUGACUCAUUCUGUCAAAUCU